rnacentral:rRNA from 1 species
AGUGAACGCUGGCGGCAUGCCUAACACAUGCAAGUCGAACGGCCACACAGUAAGAUCUUGCUCUUACGGGUGGCGAGUGGCGGACGGGUGACGCAUACAUCGGCAUCUACUUUUUCGUGGGGGAUAACGUAGGGACACUUACGCUAAUACCGCAUAUGUCCUACGGGUGAAAGCAGUGGAUCUUCGGACCUUGCGCGAUUCAAUUAGCCGAUGUCGCAUUAGCUAGUUGGCUGGGUAAAGGCCCACCAAGGCGACGAUCCGUAGCUGGUCUGAGAGGAUGAUCAGCCACACUGGAACUGAGACACGGUCCAGACUCCUACGGGAGGCAGCAGUAGGGAAUAUUGGACAAUGGGCGCAAGCCUGAUCGAGCCAUACCGCGUGGGUGAUGAAGGCCUUCGGGUUGUAAAGCCCUUUUGUUGGGGAAGAAAAGCAGCAGAUUAAUACACCGCUGUUCUGACGGUACCCAAAGAGUAAGCACCGGCUAACUUCGUG